GCGCAGCAGUCGAGAAACCUUCGCAAUGCGCGCAAGCGCGACGAGGGGAACUCGAGUGCCAUUGUCAUUUUUGAUGAUGGCUUUUCUUGAUCCUAAAAAGAUCAGGGAAUAAAAGCUGGGUAAGACGGGUGCCAGCCGCCGCGGUAAUACCCGCAGCUCAAGUGGUGGCCACUAUUAUUGAGCCUAAAGCGUCCGUAGCCGGUCUUGUAAAUCUCUGGGUAAAUCCUGCCGCUUAACGGUGGGAAUGCUGGAGAGACUGCAAGACUGGGGAUCGGGUGAAGUGAGAGGUACUCCUGGGGUAGGGGUAAAAUCCUGUAAUCCUGGGGGGACGACCGGUGGCGAAGGCGUCUCACUAGAACGACUCCGACGGUGAGGGACGAAGGCUAGGGGAGCAAACCGGAUUAGAUACCCCCGUAGUCC
rnacentral:rRNA from 1 species